UGGGGAAUAUUGGGCAAUGGGCGCAAGCCUGACCCAGCAACGCCGCGUGAAGGAAGAAGCUUUCGGGUUGUAAACUUCUUUUAUGAGGGACGAAACAAAUGACGGUACCUCAUGAAUAAGCCACGGCUAACUACGUGCC
rnacentral:rRNA from 1 species